GCUGACCAGUCUGCUCAGCUGUCAGUCAGUAAUGUAUUCUUUUAUUGUUUUCCCCCACAAAUUGUAGAGUGAAGGUUUUCUCUUGAUUCAGGAUAAAGAUGAAAAUAUUUCCAGCCACUCCACAGGGGACAGGACUCCAAGGCAUACAGAUAGGUGAUUUCUUUCUUCAACUUUUUAUACCUUCACUCCCUCAUAUAAGUGAGUAGUUAAAAGACAUAGCAGAUGGAAUAUGUUUUGUUCUUCAACUGAAACUUAAAAUUUAAAUCCUAUUGUAUAAUUCUUUAGGAUUUAUAUAUUAUCUCUUAAAAGCAUAUACUUACUGAAACAAGGCAUCUGAGUUUUAUAACAUGCAUUUGGUGCACCAAAAUUUCUUUCCAGUGAACUCAUUUACUAGAUGAAGUGAU
rnacentral:lncRNA from 1 species